AUUGAACGCUGGCGGCAGGCUUAACACAUGCAAGUCGAGCGGAGCGAGGGUGCUUGCACCUUAGCUUAGCGGCGGACGGGUGAGUAAUGCUUAGGAAUCUGCCUAUUAGUGGGGGACAACAUUCCGAAAGGAAUGCUAAUACCGCAUACGCCCUACGGGGGAAAGCAGGGGAUCUUCGGACCUUGCGCUAAUAGAUGAGCCUAAGUCGGAUUAGCUAGUUGGUGGGGUAAAGGCCUACCAAGGCGACGAUCUGUAGCGGGUCUGAGAGGAUGAUCCGCCACACUGGGACUGAGACACGGCCCAGACUCCUACGGGAGGCAGCAGUGGGGAAUAUUGGACAAUGGGCGGAAGCCUGAUCCAGCCAUGCCGCGUGUGUGAAGAAGGCCUUUUGGUUGUAAAGCGCUUUAAGCGAGGAGGAGGCUCUAAGGUUAAUACCCUUGAUGAGUGGACGUUACUCGCAGAAUAAGCACCGGCUAACUCUGUGCCAGCCGCCGCGGUAAGAC
rnacentral:rRNA from 1 species